rnacentral:rRNA from 1 species
AUUGAACGCUGGCGGCAGGCCUAACACAUGCAAGUCGAACGAGUGGCGGACGGGUGAGUAAUGUCUGGGAAACUGCAUGAUGGAGGGGGAUAACUACUGGAAACGGUAGCUAAUACAGCAUACUAUCAGAUGAGCCUAUGUCGGAUUAGCUAGUUGGUGGGGUAAAGGCCUACCAAGGCGACGAUCCGUAACUGGUCUGAGCGGAUGACCAGUCACACUGGAACUGAGACACGGUCCGGACUCCUACGUGAGGCAGCAGUGGGGAAGAGUGGACAAGGGGCGAAAGCCUGAUCCAUCCAUGCCGCGUGUAUGAAGAAGGCCUUCGGAUUGUAAAGCACUUUAAGUUGGGAGGCGUUACCAACAGAAUAAGCACCGGCUAACUUCGUGCCAGCAGCGGCGGUAAGUC